rnacentral:rRNA from 1 species
UACGAAAGGGGCUAGCGUUGUUCGGAAUUACUGGGCGUAAAGCGCACGUAGGCGGCCUUGUAAGAUGGGGGUGAAAUCCCCGGGCUCAACCCGGGAAUUGCCUUCAUGACUGCAAAGCUCGAGGAUGCGAGAGGUGAAUGGGAUUCCGCGUGUAGAGGUGAAAUUCGUAGAUAUUCGGAAGAACACCAGUGGCGAAGGCGAUUCACUGGCGCAUUUCUGACGCUGAGGUGCGAAAGCGUGGGGAGAAAACAGG